rnacentral:rRNA from 1 species
UACGUAGGGUGCAGGCGUUAAUCGGAAUUACUGGGCGUAAAGCGUGCGCAGGCGGUCUGCUAAGAGAGAUGUGAAAUCCCCGGGCUUAACCUGGGAACUGCGUUUCUAACUGGCAGGCUUGAGUGUGGCAGAGGGGGGUGGAAUUCCACGUGUAGCAGUGAAAUGCGUAGAGAUGUGGAGGAACACCGAUGGCGAAGGCAGCCCCCUGGGCUAACACUGACGCCCCAUGCACGAAAGCGUGGGGAGCAAACAGG